rnacentral:tRNA from 1 species
CGGGCGCGGGCGGCGGCCCGCCGCCUCGCCGAGGUCGAGGCCGAGCCCGCCACCGCGUUCGGUGCGCGCCGCCUGCC